rnacentral:rRNA from 1 species
AGAGUUUGAUCAUGGCUCAGAACGAACGCUGGCGGCGUGGAUAAGACAUGCAAGUCGAACGGGGUUGGUUUGGUAGCAAUACCGGGCCAACCUAGUGGCGAACGGGUGCGUAACACGUGACCAACCUUCCCGAAAGUGGGGAAUAGCUCGCCGAAAGGCGGAUUAAUACCGCAUGUACCUCGAAGCAAUUUGAGGCAAAGCAGCAAUGCGCUUUUGGAUGGGGUCGCGGCCUAUCAGCUAGUUGGUGAGGUAAAGGCUCACCAAGGCAUCGACGGGUAGCUGGUCUGAGAGGACGACCAGCCACACUGGAACUGAGACACGGUCCAGACACCUACGGGUGGCAGCAGUCGAGAAUUUUUCUCAAUGGAGGAAACCCUGAAGGAGCGACGCCGCGUGGAGGAUGAAGGCUUUCGGGUUGUAAACUCCUGUCAUUUGGGAACAAAGUCCGCCUCUGGCGGAUGUGAUAGUACCAGAAGAGGAAGAGACGGCUAACUCUGUGCCAGCAGCCGCGGUAAUACAGAGGUCUCGAGCGUUGUUCGGAUUCAUUGGGCGUAAAGGGCGCGUAGGCUGCGGGGUAAGUCAGGUGUGAAAUCUCAGGGCUCAACUCUGAAAUUGCACUUGAUACUGCUCUGCUAGAGGACUGGAGAGGAGAUUGGAAUUCACGGUGUAGCAGUGAAAUGCGUAGAUAUCGUGAGGAAGACCGGUGGCGAAGGCGGAUCUCUGGACAGUUCCCGACGCUGAGGCGCGAAGGCCAGGGGAGCAAACGGGAUUAGAUACCCCGGUAGUCCUGGCAGUAAACGGUGCACGUUUGGUGUGCGCGGAUUCGACCCCGUGCGUGCCGGAGCUAACGCGUUAAACGUGCCGCCUGAGGAGUACGGUCGCAAGAUUAAAACUCAAAGAAAUUGAC